rnacentral:rRNA from 1 species
UACGGAGGAUGCAAGCGUUAUCCGGAUUUAUUGGGUUUAAAGGGUCCGUAGGCGGGCUAAUAAGUCAGUGGUGAAAUCGAGCAGCUUAACUGUUCAACUGCCAUUGAAACUGUUGGUCUUGAGUGAAUUUGAAGUUGCCGGAAUAUGUAGUGUAGCGGUGAAAUGCAUAGAUAUUACAUAGAACACCAAUUGCGAAGGCAGGUAACUAAGAUUUAACUGACGCUGAUGGACGAAAGCGUGGGGAGCGAACAGGAUUAGAUACCCCUGGUA